UAAAAAAAGCCAGGAAGUUGCUUCAGUGUCCCGGUGCGGUUAGUCACGUUUCGUGCGUGCUCAUUCUGCCAAGAUGCCUGAGGAAACCCAGACCCAAGACCAACCAAUGGAGGAAGAGGAGGUCGAAACCUUUGCCUUUCAGGCAGAAAUUGCCCAGUUAAUGUCCUUGAUCAUCAACACUUUCUACUCGAACAAAGAGAUCUUUCUGAGGGAGCUCAUUUCCAACUCCUCAGAUGCUCUGGAUAAGAUCAGAUACGAGAGCUUGACCGACCCUAGUAAACUGGACUCGGGGAAGGAGCUGCACAUUAAUCUCAUUCCCAACAAGCAAGACCGAACCCUCACUAUUGUGGAUACUGGCAUUGGAAUGACCAAGGCUGACUUGAUCAAUUACCUUGGCACUAUUGCCAAGUCAGGCACCAAAGCCUUCAUGGAGGCUUUGCAGGCUGGUGCAGAUAUCUCUAUGAUUGGCCAGUUUGGUGUUGGUUUUUACUCUGCAUAUUUGGUUGCUGAGAAAGUGACUGUCAUCACCAAGCAUAAUGAUGACGAGCAGUACGCCUGGGAGUCCUCAGCUGGAGGAUCCUUCACUGUGAGGACAGACACAGGUGAACCAAUGGGUCGUGGAACAAAGGUUAUCUUGUAUCUAAAAGAAGAACAAACUGAGUAUUUGGAGGAAAGGAGAAUAAAAGAAAUUGUGAAGAAACAUUCUCAGUUUAUUGGCUACCCCAUUACUCUCUUUGUGGAGAAGGAAUGUCAGUGAUGAUGAGGCUGAAGAAAAGGAAGAGAAAGAGGAAGAGAAAGAAAAAGAAGAAAAGGAGUCUGAUGACAAGCCUGAAAUAGAAGAUGUUGGUUCUGAUGAAGAAGAAGAAGAGAAGAAGGAUGGUGACAAGAAGGAAAAGAAGAAGAUAAAGGAAAAGUACAUUGAUCAAGAAGAACUCAACAAAACAAAGCCGAUCUGGACCAGAAAUCCUGAUGACAUUACGAAUGAAGAAUAUGGAGAGUUCUACAAGAGCUUAACCAACGACUGGAAAGAACAUUUGGCAGUAAAGCAUUUUUCUGUUGAAGGACAAUUAGAAUUCCGGGCUCUUCUUUUUGUCCCAAGACGCGCUCCUUUUGAUCUAUUUGAAAACAGAAAGAAAAAGAACAACAUCAAGUUGUAUGUUCAAAGAGUUUUUAUCAUGGAUAAUUGUGAGGAGUUAAUCCCCGAGUAUCUGAAUUUCAUCAGAGGGGUGGUGGAUUCUGAGGAUCUCCCUCUAAAUAUUUCCCAUGAAAUGCUGCAACAAAGCAAAAUUCUGAAAGUUAUCAGGAAGAAUUUGGUCAAGAAAUGCCUAGAACUAUUUACUGAACUGGCUGAAGAUAAAGAGAACUACAAAAAGUUUUAUGAGCAGUUCUCAAAAAAUAUAAAGCUUGGAAUUCAUGAAGACUCUCAAAAUCGGAAGAAGCUUUCAGAGCUGUUGAGAUACUACACAUCUGCUUUUGGGGAUGAGAUGGUUUCUCUGAAGGACUACUGCACCAGAAUGAAGGAAAACCAGAAGCACAUCUAUUUUAUCACAGGUGAGACCAAGGACCAGGUUGCUAACUCAGCCUUUGUGGAACGUCUCUGAAAGCAUGGCUUAGAAGUAAUCUAUAUGAUUGAGCCCAUUGAUGAGUAUUGUGUGCAACAGCUGAAGGAAUUUGAGGGCAAGACCUUGGUGUCAGUUACCAAAGAAGGACUGGAACUUCCAGAAGAUGAAGAGGAAAAGAAGAAACAGGAAGAGAAAAAGACAAAAUUUGAGAACCUCUGCAAAAUUAUGAAAGAUAUUUUAGAGAAAAAGGUUGAAAAGGUGGUUGUGUCAAACCGAUUGGUGACAUCCUCAUGCUGUAUUGUCACAAGCACAUAUGGCUGGACAGCAAACAUGGAGAGAAUCAUGAAAGCUCAAGCCCUCAGAGACAACUCAACAAUGGGUUACAUGGCAGCAAAGAAACACCUGGAGAUAAACCCUGAUCACUCCAUUAUUGAAACCUUAAGGCAAAAGGCAGAGGCUGACAAGAAUGACAAGUCUGUGAAAGAUCUGGUCAUCUUGCUGUACAAAACAGCACUCCUGUCUUCCAGCUUCAGUCUGGAAGAUCCCCAGACCCAUGCUAACAGGAUCUACAGGAUGAUCAAGCUUGGUCUAGGUAUUGAUGAGGAUGAUCCUACUGUGGAUGAUACCAGUGCUGCUGUAACUGAAGAAAUGCCACCCCUGGAAGGAGAUGAUGACAUAUCACGCAUGGAAGAAGUAGACUAGGCUUCACCAGAACUAUGUGUUUGAUGCUUACCUACAUUCCUUCUGAUAAUAUAUUUUCCAUGAUUUUUGUUUAUUUUUGUUAACAUUUAAAACAUCUGUGUGGCAUGAAAACUAGGGGAAGAUAAAAAUUUCUACAUGUGAUACUGUGAUACUAUAGGUUUGACUCAAGAGGUUGAUAGAAUGUUUGUUGUAAGACGUAAUGUAACCUACUGUUACUGUUAACUAUGUGGUCUGAAGUGUUUAGCUGUUGAGCUGGAUUCCUUUAGUAGACCAAAUUAAGAUGACUUAAGUUUCAUCUUAAAUUUUUUUUCAUUCCCUGUAGUUAAUUCUGCAUGUACUAGUCUUAGAAGUAAACACAAACUAAAACAACUUGACAGGAAUUCCCCAAGUGGCUUGUUUUCCAAAGUACUGAGAACAAAACCCUAAGUUCCCAUAGGUCUUGUAACUCAGCAAGGCUUGUGAAUGUGAAAAUAACAGUGCCCAAUCACAUUCUGCUUUAAAAAGGUAAAUACA